GAUGAACGCUGGCGGCGUGCCUAAUACAUGCAAGUCGAGCGAACAGACGAGGAGCUUGCUCCUCUGACGUUAGCGGCGGACGGGUGUGUAACACGUGUAUAACCUACCUAUAAGACUGGUAUCACUUCGGGAAACCGGAGCUAAUACCGGAUAAUAUAUUGAACCGCAUGGUUCAAUAGUGAAAGACGGUUUUGCUGUCACUUAUCGAUGGAUCCGCGCCGCAUUAGCUAGUUGGUAAGGUAACGGCUUACCAAGGCAACGAUGCGUAGCCGACCUGAGAGGGGGGUCGGCCACCCUGGAACUGAGACACGGUCCAGAGUCCUACGGGAGGCAGCAGUAGGGAAUCUUCCGCAAUGGGCGAAAGCCUGACGGAGCAACGCCGCGUGAGUGAUGAAGGUCUUCGGAUCGUAAAACUCUGUUAUUAGGGAAGAACAAAUGUGUAAGUAACUAUGCACGUCUUGACGGUACCUAAUCAGAAAGCCACGGCUAACUACGUG
rnacentral:rRNA from 1 species